GAUGAACGCUGGCGGCGUGCUUAACACAUGCAAGUCGAACGGUGAACGAGGGAGCUUGCUCCCUCCGGAUCAGUGGCGAACGGGUGAGUAACACGUGAGCAAUCUGCCCUGGACUCUGGGAUAAGCGUUGGAAACGACGUCUAAUACCGGAUACGAGGCGUGGGGGCAUCCCCAACGCCUGGAAAGAACUUCGGUCCAGGAUGAGCUCGCGGCCUAUCAGGUAGUUGGUGAGGUAAUGGCUCACCAAGCCUACGACGGGUAGCCGGCCUGGGAGGGUGACCGACCAGACUGGGACUGAAACACGGCCCAGACGCAUACGGGAGGCAGCAGUGGGGAAUAUUGCACAAUGGGCGCAAGCCUGAUGCAGCAACGCCGCGUGAGGGACGACGGCCUUCGGGUUGUAAACCUCUUGUAGCAGGGAAGAAGCGAAAGUGACGGUACCUGCAGAAAAAGCGCCGGCCAACUACGUGCCAGCCGCCGCCGUAAAAC
rnacentral:rRNA from 1 species